GCUAUUAGUAUCCUUGUGUAGAUGAGACAAUGGGAAAGAACUUGUCUGAUUGAAGAAAUAUGUUACUUCUCAAAAGCUGAGGCAUCAUGCAGCCUAUUUAUGGGCCAUAUAUUAAAAAAUAGGUAAAAAGAAGCAAAACGGAAAAAGAAGCAGAAGCCUCUGUGUAGUUGGUGUCAUUCAGAAAGAAGAAUAAAAAUGAGCACGAAGCUUCUGUGUAGGUGGGUGGGGGGUUAUACUUGGUUCCAAAGGACAACAUUGACGUUGAGAUGGAGUUUGGAAAUAAUAGACGGCAAACAAAAUAAAAACUACCUAACAAAUUUAUCACUCCCUAAUCUAAACACAUAAAUACUUCACCACUUAAAAAAAAAGGUCUGUCUUCAUCAUCUUGUUUCUCUCCUUCUCUUUCUAUUUCCGGGUUGGGGAGAAGGGAGGAGGGGGGGCAGAAGAACAAAAGGUCAUCAUUAUUCUUUUUUCAAGACUCUUGCUCUUUAAACUGUGUAGUGAUGUUGAAUCGUAUCAAUGUCUAAUCCUUUCAGCUUCACCACCGACUCCAUGUGCCCCUUCAGUGUAUUCAGCUCUCGAAGCCUGCAACCACAAUUUUAUUUUAUCAAACGUUUGUGAUUUUUAUAAUUCACAAUUCUUCAUUUUCACAGGGCUACCAACAAAUUACUCCUGCAUGAUGAUGAUCAUGAUGUAAAAAAGACCAGAAUCAGUUGGGUUGCUUACCUAGCAA
rnacentral:lncRNA from 1 species